ACCCGUAGAUCCGAACUUGUGU
rnacentral:miRNA from 2 species